AUUUCUGCUCUCCCUCCCAAUAAAGCUAUUUUUGUUGUUUUGUUUUUCUUUCCAUUUCAGGUCUUACAAUAUCCCUGCUAUUGUGAUAUUUGGGAAUUCACCAAGUUGAGAGUCACAGUCGGAGACCAGUAACCAACUUCUGGAUUACUACUUCCAAGGGAAUCUUAGAUGCCAUUCUGAAAUGCUGUGCGGCCAACACUGCUGCUGGCUGUGUCCCUCAUUUGCAUGAGGAAGGUUCGGGUGUUUUCUCAGCUGCUGUGCUCAGAGACCUGCCUGCUGGAGGUAUUUUCUCUUCAGCUUCCAUAACCAAGAUAGAAAUUAAUGAAAAAGGUACAGCACUAGCACAAUCGAUAGCAGCCAUAUUUCUUCAAAGGACUUAAUUUUCUGUUUUUCAUGUUUCCCAAAUAGCUUUUCUGCUGCACAACAGGGGAAUGUGCCAAACCACUUGAAACUUAAUGGUAAAUGUAUUUUUCAGAUAAUCAGAAUUCCAAACAAAUGCUUUUACCCAUCAGAUCAUUCACUUCCCAUGAUAAAUCUUUACAGCAUAUGUAUAAUCCUUCAAAUUACUUUUUAGUCUCUUAUGUAGGCUGAGAUUUAUUUUUUUUUUUUAUCAGGAUGGGUAAUUUUUUGCACUUUACACAUUUCUGGGAGAUAUUCUUAAAAUUAUAGAGGAGAUUCUUUCCUGCAAAUCUUUUUCAGUUGAUAUAAAGACUAUGUAUUAAAUCUACUCAUGAGGUAGUUUCUUCAUUUAUGUUCAGAAUCAAUUAACAGUGCUGAGUGUUUAUAAACAGUAAUUGUUGAGGUUGCAUAUGAAUCAAACUAAGUGAUUAAUUAAACAUUUUAAACUAAAUUGCAAAUGCUCAUUACUUUUUAGUAUUUUUCUAUAUUUUACCUCUUAUUUAUUGCUUGGGCCAUAUGCUCAGCACUGACAAAGCCUCAGUUUUAAUUCUAUAUUCAGUUUGGGGUGAAGCAUUUAAAGAACGGUACGCAUUUGGAGUGAGUCAACAAGAGAGUAACAAAAAUGGGAUGUUAUCUACAAAAUAGCACACAUGCAGAAGAGACUUUAGCUUACAAAAACAAGAAAAGCUGGGUGGUGGAGUGGGGGAGGAAGGUUUAGGGAAUCAAAAUAAAUAAAACCAAGGAGGAAUGUGGUAGCA
rnacentral:lncRNA from 1 species